CACUUGCUCUUUAGCCGCCCAGGACUUCUGUGUAUCUAGCGUUGGUCGUUCGAUUCUGCCUCUUAAUUUCUCCAACAACUUGUAUCUGAUAUCAUUCCUCGAUAGAUUUAUCACUUUCUACCAAGGUUGCGCACUACGUUUAUUCAAAUUUACUACACGUCGCUGUUUAAACUAAUUGAGAACUUGUACCGUUCCGUGUGGCGGAAAAAAUUCGAAGCGUCUCGAGGCCAUCGCUAGCCAUGUCUUCCUUUUCAUUCUCGACCCCCCUCCUGUCCGCCACGCAACACACUCUCCGUCUUUACCCGCUCUUCGUGAUGAUCCACGAUCUUUACGGAUGCCCCUUUCCCCGCCGUUCAACCGUUUCGCAAUGAUGUCAUCCACAACAUUGGCGCAGGCAACGAGAAUUUUCAAACGACGGAAAGUAGAAAAUGAAGUCUGACGCCUCGACGAUGUCGCUAUGGAACGAGUGCUUUUUAUGUAUAUUCCACAUAUGUAUAUAGAUAAACAGAUGUGCGACUAUCGUAAACGUUUCGCCUAAAAAUUGUGGCAGUUAAGGCCAGUUGGCGUACAUAACGAGUAGCGUGGAAUUUUCAUCGCUGGUGUUAUAGAACGUGCGGAUGAUGCAGCGAGGACGGAACUCGUAUUUAGCGGAUUAAGUCGAAACCCGAAGAAGACGAGCCAAGUCACUAGCCGGCAUUGUUUCGGAUUAUGUAUUUGAUGCGCGUAAAGAGCUUUAAUCCUUUACCGAAGCAGUUAACAAGAUUAUCAAGGCGAGGGUAUAAACGUUCUAGAAAUCUUUAUAACCUUUUACCAUGUUGAUACGUGAGUUACAUAAAAAAAUGUUAGCCGCAGAUUGAAUUAGAGUGGUGUGGUCUUUUAAAAGAAGCAAAUAAAGUUUUCUGAUUAUA